AUUGAACGCUGGCGGCAGGCUUAACACAUGCAAGUCGAGCGGAGAUGAGGUGCUUGCACCUUAUCUUAGCGGCGGACGGGUGAGUAAUGCUUAGGAAUCUGCCUAUUAGUGGGGGACAACAUUCCGAAAGGAAUGCUAAUACCGCAUACGCCCUACGGGGGAAAGCAGGGGAUCUUCGGACCUUGCGCUAAUAGAUGAGCCUAAGUCGGAUUAGCUAGUUGGUGGGGUAAAGGCUUACAAAGGCGACGAUCUGUAGCGGGUCUGAGAGGAUGACCCGCCACACUGGGACUGAGACACGGCCCAGACUCCUACGGGAGGCAGCAGUGGGGAAUAUUGGACAAUGGGCGGAAGCCUGAUCCAGCCAUGCCGCGUGUGUGAAGAAGGCCUUUUGGUUGUAAAGCACUUUAAGCGAGGAGGAGGCUACUUGGAUUAAUACUCUAGGAUAGUGGACGUUACUCGCAGAAUAAGCACCGGCUAACUCUGUGCCAGCAGCCGCCGUAACAC
rnacentral:rRNA from 1 species